GUGAACGCUGGCGGUAGGCCUAACACAUGCAAGUCGCACGGCAGCACAGUAAGAGCUUGCUCUUACGGGUGGCGAGUGGCGGACGGGUGAGGAGUACAUCGGAAUCUACUUUUUCGUGGGGGAUAACGUAGGGAAACUUACGCUAAUACCGCAUACGACCUACGGGUGAAAGCAGGGGAUCUUCGGACCUUGCGCGAUUGAAUGAGCCGAUGUCGGAUUAGCUAGUUGGCGGGGUAAAGGCCCACCAAGGCGACGAUCCGUGGCUGGUCUGAGAGGAUGAUCAGCCACACUGGAACUGAGACACGGUCCAGACUCCUACGGGAGGCAGCAGUGGGGAAUAUUGGACAAUGGGCGCAAGCCUGAUCCAGCCAUACCGCGUGGGUGAAGAAGGCCUUCGGGUUGUAAAGCCCUUUUGUUGGGAAAGAAAAGCAGCAGGUUAAUACCCCGCUGUUCUGACGGUACCCAAAGAAUAAGCACCGGCUAACUUCGUG
rnacentral:rRNA from 1 species